rnacentral:tRNA from 1 species
AAGGGUGUAGCUCAGUGGUAGAGUGUGUGUUUAGCAUGCACAAGGUCCUGAGUUCCAUCCCCAGUACCUCCA